rnacentral:rRNA from 1 species
ACUCAAAUGAAUUGACGGGGGCUCACACAAGCGGUGGAGCAUGUGGCUUAAUUCGAGGCAACGCGAAGAACCUUAUCCUGGAUUUGACAUGGUCGGAUUAGUCCCGUGAAAGCGGGAUGACGCCUUCGGGUGGAACGAUCACAGGUGCUGCAUGGCUGUCGUCAGCUCGUGUCGUGAGAUGUCGCGUUAAGUCGCUAAACGAGCGAAACCCCUGUCCCUAGUUGCCAGCGCGUCAUGGCGGGGACUCUAGGGAGACCGCCGGCGUCAAGCCGGAGGAAGGCGGGGAUGACGUCAAGUCCUCAUGGCCUUUAUGUCCAGGGCUGCACACGUGCUACAAUGGCACACACAGAGGGAUGCCAAGCCGCAAGGCGGAGCCAAUCCCACAAACUGUGCCCCAGUUCGGAUUGCAGGCUGCAAUUCGCCUGCAUGAAGCCGGAAUCGCUAGUAAUCGCCGGUCAGCAUUACGGCGGUGAAUGUGUUCCUGAGCCUUGCACACACCGCCCGU